rnacentral:lncRNA from 1 species
AUGGGCUGCACCUUGCAAGCCAGUUCCCGAUAUCCCGGGCCCUGUUUAGGAGCUCGGAGGGGAAUGCCACAUUUCGCAAGAGCUGGAGCCAGCCCUACCCACUCUGCCUUUGCCUUCACCCAUUUUCAAGCAAGACUGGUGUCCCAAUUCACCAGGAGAAAAAUGGGCAACCACAACCUGCUGAGGAGAUGCAAGCAGCCGGACACCAGCCCUGAAAUGCCCAACCUGCCCAGGCCCAGCUUUUCAGGCUCCAGCUUUUCACUGAGCAGGAGCUCUUGGUUUUGGGACCUGCCUCCCAGCAGGGGUAAGGAACAGGCAAAACGCCACAGCCCGAAACAGAAGGAUGUCAUUUCCCAACCCUGGCUGCUUCUCUGCUGCUGACAGACGGCACCCAGACAGCAGAGAGGCUGGAGGAGGCUGCUCUUCUGCUGGAGCAGAUAGAAGUAAUUAGUCAAAUCACUGCAGCGCAGAGAGGGACGCUGGCCCAUCUCCCGUCAGGCAGCAAAUGACUCAUUGCAUGACAACUUCAGUAAAGGGGUAUUAUUGUUUUUUUUCUUCUACUUAUUUAUUUAUUUAUUUAUUUAUUUAUUUAUUCCUCUCCCUGUUCCACUUUCAACAGGGAAACAAAGAGCUGAAUUUUCCAAAAGGCCACCAAGGUUCUUGUCUGGGAGCCUAGCCUCCCGGGUCUCCUAAGGCCACUGAGGCAGUCACCGCUUGAAUGAAUGUCAUCCAUCUAUGUAGGGAUGGAGACAAAAAGCACUGCUGCCCCUUCAAGAUGUGGUGAGUUGGCGGGCAGAAAGGGGUGGUCAUUCGCAGGCUUGGUUGACCCAGUGACUAACAUCUGACCUCCUCAAAGCCCUCCACAGAUCUGUUACAGAGGCCUGAGAAAUGCAAAUAAUGACACAUUUUAUUACUUCUCCUUGAUACUUGCUUAGGGGUAUGUUUUACCCCAUCUGAGACAUAUUUCCAUGUUCCUCCUCCUCCAUUUGGCAGUGAUGGAGCAGAGGAAAGGCCUGGAUGGACAUAUUUACACCAUUCAUGGACCAAGCAGUGCUGGAUCCCUCUGGGAUCACCAGCCCUGGCAGCUCACCACCUCCAAUCCCCCCAACCUCUGUAUCCACCAGGCCACUACCAGCAGUGGGGGGAGCACACACCAUGAAGAACAGACCCCAGAGCACCACUGGCUGGAAGAGCAUUUUCCCAACAAGCAGAAACAAAUGGAAACGUGCCCUCAUACUUUCUACAUCAUUUCCAAGUGAGGGACGAGCAGCGAGCACCGUGUUUGCAGAAAGCUGGCUUCCUCAGCCAAAUUUCGUCCACUGACGUGCCUCAUCAGUGCAAAGGUCUUUUGUACUGUGGGGUUCAGCGCUCUCCUGUCCCA